CCGACCAAAUCUGAAGAGGUGUCGAUAUAGUAUUAUUGCACGUGAGAAAUAAAAGAGCGUGCGGGGCAGAGAGAAAGGGCGAACGGUGAUAGAGAGUUGGAGAAAACACGGAAGAGGUUGGUAAUAGCACGGAAUUUUAGGCGAGUGAGCGUGGAAGUCUGGAUGGGGGGAUCCCGAGGAGAAGAUUUCACAAACGGCCACGACACCAGACAUGAGUCCGAGUAGUCUCAACUCUGACAGAGGGCCAUGCUAUCAUUGACAGGCCAAAGUGACUGCUCCGCUGCUGCCUUAAUACACACACAGGGACUGGGAGCUGCUAAUGUGACGGCGUUGUGAACAUGAGAGCUGGGCGCUAGCUGCCUCUGACAGUGCUCUGCUCGUGGUGCGGCGGCAGGCCGCGCAGUCUGUGUGGGUGAACAGCACAGCACACCCCAGCUGCUGGCCUCCCAGUCUUCCAGUAAUCCCUGUGAAAUCUCACAUUCUCCCUGACAAUUCACACUGUCUGUCGGCCUGACGCCCCAUUUCAUGCCUGCCAUCCAGCCCCUCUGAUCCACACCAUAACAAGACACCCGAGCACUGCCGAGCCGAGUCCUACAUCUGCCCUUCCCUGUCUCCCUGCUAGGAGGCUAUCAAGCACAGUACAGUACAGUGGCACGUCUCUAUCAACUGAUGAGCACUUAUGGGUUUGGGGUUGAAGGCACUUAUUGUUUUGUUAAAUGUUUUAGAAUGUUUAUUCCAAAGAGCAUGCUGGCUUAUUAUUUGUCUAUGUUGUCGGACUUUAUGUCAGAUUGGAGUUUGUUGACCACUAUAGUGCCAAUGCCAACCUCAGUAGGUGAAUGUGAAGACUAAAGCCAUGAAUGCACUGUGAUAGACUUAGUGAAUCUUAAAACCUUAGCUUGGAGACUGAGACAAUAAGCCCUACUAUUGUGGGAUUGUAUUAAUGUACAACAUUAAUUGAAGGGUUUUAUUCUGUAGCAUAAUGAGCAUAUCAAGGUGUUGUUUUUCUGUCACAUAUUCUUUCUCUUUCUUGAUUUUGAACCAAAGCAAAGUAAAACUGGUGCUUACCUCAGGACUGAACCCAGCAUGGGGACGCAAUGCUUUAGCUACACACCAACCAAACAACACACACGUACACACUUACGUACAUGCAGAUACACAGCACAGACAUUUACAUACAUUUUCAUUUUUUAUUUUGAGGGGACAAUAGUCCUGUGUUAAACCUGUGGUAAUUUCAUGGUUAUGAGAUGUUUUACUUGUCUUACGGUUUUGUUGAUAACAUGUGAUAUUAACAUUUUCCUCUUACUUUAAUAGGCUGUGUACAUGUUCCUUUUUUACUGUCCUAAUAGAGGCUUUGUAUGGGUUUGACCAAUGACAUUAUCUUAAUAAGGAAAAGUCAAGCUGGUGAUUUUCUCUUACCUUUGGAAACCAAAUUGUUAACUUUAAUUCAACAGAAUAUACAAAUGUAAAUGUUGAUAGGGCUUGUAAGGCAAGACAUAAAGGUAAUACCUCUGGUUCCAAAGAAACAUAUAUACUGUCUAUGUGAAUGAGGUAUUUUAUUUUUCACCCGAAGCCUUAAUGUUUAGUGACGUGUUUGGUUGCACACGAGGAGUGAUGUAUUUAUCAAUAUUUCCCUAAACAGAUAAACAGUGGCUGGACUCUGAGUGGAUGAAAGCUAUAGCCUCAAGUUGUUUGACCCAUUUCUCUGGAGGAGGCUUUGUGAGCUGAUGAUGAAUAAGGCUGUGUGUAUUUAUACACAAACACACUUUAAGCCAGCUUGUUUUGGACUGCAGGACAUGCAGCGGUUCCCAGCAGCCUACGUGAAACACAAAAAUCCACACUUGGCUCCAAAGUUAAUUUAGAAAAAUAGUCUGCAUGGAAACUGUAUGGGCACAGCUGUUUUGUUAUAACAUAAGAAACUAGUUUAAAUGACAUGUGAAUUGACAGGGGCAGUGGACAGUAUCAAUCUUCUAUUUAUCAUGGCAGUAUGAGGUUGGACCACAGACAUGUGAAGCCCCAUAGACAAGAGGGAACAGCCCAUUUGAAGAUGGUGGGAAUAUAAAUCUCUCCUGCUUGUUCUGUCUCUCAUUCAUUAGUUCACUCUCACUGAAAGUCUAUCUCCCGUUUCCUUUUCUCGCGCCGUUAAAACAAGAA